CUCCGCCCAACACACACAAACAGUCCAGCCUCCCACCGGACCCCUGACCUCAGUACCGCCUGCAGCGCAAGGAGGAAAAAGUCAGGAGUUUCGAUGACAGUGGUUCUGAAACUCCAUUGUGCCCCAGAAUCAACUGGAUGGCUUAUUAACACAGAUUGCUGGGCCUCAUCCUCAGAGAUACUGAUUCUGCAAGCAGUUCUUCGGUGGGGUCCAAGCGUCUGCAUUUUUAACAGACUCUCAGGUGAUACGACGCUUCUGGUCUGGGGACCACAUUUUGAGAACCAACAAUCUACAGAAUUACUUCCUAUAACUGGCAUGAUUAUUAAGUGAUGAUGAAUCUUUGAUUGCUGUUUCAGCUCUACAAGCGUCCAUGAAACCAGAUAACCAAACUUGACAAGAAAUAUAAAUGAAACAAGAGUAAGCAGACCAAUGGAGAACAUAAGGGACCAUUUGUUUGAAGUUUGGCUCUAGAGUCUCAGAGAGUGUUUUUUCUUACAUUUAUGUUCCAAAGGAAUGAAACGAUUCAAUCUUUGGCCUCUUGAGCUUUCAUAUAUUGGUAUAAG